UAGAAUUUAAAAAAAAAAAAAAAGGACUUCACACAAUAAUCAUGUGAUCAUGAAAGAAAAAAAUUACCAAAUGCCCUAAGAAAUCUCCCCUGCUUCAUCUUCUUCUUCUAUGGGUUUUAAUUUGGCAUUAAACUCAAUCAAGCCUACAGAGAAACCAACUCAAGAGCAAGACUCCCUUAACCAAUCCAAGAUUCUUCUCUUACCAACACCAACCCCUCUAAUCCCUCCACUCCACUGAAACACAACCACCAUCAUCAACUCCUUCCUCCUACGUCAUUGCUCAGUUUUCUCCCAUCUGUGAUAGAAGAUUUGUCUCGCCACACAAAACUUUAUCCUAUAAUUUGCAGAAAUAGGAACAAAAUAAGGAAAAGAAAGGAUAGGGAAGAACAAGAUUACCUAAUCCAACAAACCAAAGAGUUAGGUUGUUUCUACAAGUCCCAUCACAAGAAAGUUCUCCAAUACUAUUCAUUUCUUCUUGGUUUAUUUGUUGGUCAUUUUUCUAUAUUCAAUCGUAUCUCUUUUCCUUCUUUGAUUCUUCGAAUAAACAAGAGCAUUGCUUACUUGGCAUUUUCAUUCAAUAGCAAAAGUAAAGGAGGGAGGCAUAGAUAGGUGACUAGGACAAUGGUGGUAGAGAAGAUGACACAAUCCCUAAUUUCUUGUCAAUCCUAAAGUGAAAGGAGAUUUUAAAUUAAGGGCGUGUUGGCUAUUUAAUUUAUAGUUUAGUUGUAUGUUUUUCAUGUGAUCUUCACUUUUAUGCCCUUAAAGAUCCACAAUUCUCAUGCUUAUUCGUACAGGUGAACCCCUAUUGUUCAUGUUAGUAUUUAGACAAUAAAAAUCAGUGAAAUACACUUGAUUGUAAAUAAUAACUUUAUUCCGACACUCGAUUAGAAAAAAAAAAUAAAUAAAUAUAUAAAACUGAAAUAGAAAAAAUUGGAAAAAUUCAAAUAUCACUGGGUGACUUGUGCCACUAUCCCAAAAAUAAAUGAAGGGAAAAACAAGUCUCACAAUUACCAAUUUACUCUUUAAUUAUUUUAACCUAUGUAGCAUGGGGAAGGAAAAGCAACAUGGUGAAAUGCAGAAACGGACAGGGGAAAACGGCAUUUUCCAAAAUAUAGAAACAAAAACAUGAGGGGAAACGCCUAAAUAUAAAAAAUCUAAGGGUAUAUUCAUAAAUAUAAAAUAUAUUUACAUAAAUAUUAUUUAAGAUUUAAUA
rnacentral:misc_RNA from 1 species